CGAAGAAGAAGCGUGUACAGCAAGUAAAGUCGUCUUUGAAGUUCGAGGCGAGUCGACGCCUGUUGCUUAAUCUAAAAGUCAAAAUUUAAAAAAAGACUAACAGGGCUGCGAUCAGAUGUCAGCAGCUCGCUUUCAGAAAUCGCCGUGGCUAUUAUAACACAAAAACAAGAUCAAACAAUUUAGCUCAAGGAGUGAGUGGCACGUGAAAAGACUCCAUGCCUGGAGAAAAGAGGAGCAUCUAUAUUAAAAACUGACCAGACUCCACCAGUCAAAGACAGUCGUGGUGGUGUUGCGGUAUUAAGAACAGGGGAAAAGGGAGCCGUGGCUGGAGAAGCUGUGGCUGAAGGAGCAGUGGCAGAGGGGGCAGUGGCUGGAGGAGCUGAGGCUGGAGGAGCUGAGGCUGGAGGAGCUGAGGCUGGAGGAGCUGAGGCUGGAGGAGCUGAGGCUGGAGGAGCAGUGGCAGUGGGAGCGGUGCUUGGAGGAGCUGAGGCUGGAGGAGCAGUGGCAGUGGGAGCGGUGCUUGGAGGAGCUGCGGCUGGAGGAGCAGUGGCUGGAGGAGCUGAGGCUGGUGGGGAUGGUGACUGUGUCAUCCAGGAGGAUGCUCCUUUUUUGUUUUCAUACCUAUGAGGCACU